UGGGGAAUCUUGGACAAUGGGGGCAACCCUGAUCCAGCCAUGCCGCGUGAGCGAUGAAGGCCUUAGGGUUGUAAAGCUCUUUCAGCGGGGAAGAUAAUGACGGUACCCGCAGAAGAAGCCCCGGCUAACUCCGUGCCAGCAGCCGCGGUAAUACGGAGGGGGCUAGCGUUGUUCGGAAUUACUGGGCGUAAAGCGCACGUAGGCGGAUGUUUAAGUCGGGGGUGAAAUCCCGGGGCUCAACCCCGGAACUGCCUUCGAUACUGGACGUCUGGAGGUCGAGAGAGGUGAGUGGAAUUCCGAGUGUAGAGGUGAAAUUCGUAGAUAUUCGGAGGAACACCAGUGGCGAAGGCGGCUCACUGGCUCGAUACUGACGCUGAGGUGCGAAAGCGUGGGGAGCAAA
rnacentral:rRNA from 1 species